CAAGAUAUUAUAAGUGGAAUAGUUUGGCAAAAGGCACGCCCCUUCUGAAGAAGCUGAGCGAGACGCGCGUCAGGGGUGCGCUCACCAGGGUCUCAAGGUUGGUUUCCCUUCACCUGAUAUUAUAUGUAUUUUCCAUGCUGGCAGUCCAGUGUUAUAUGUUUGAUGCACCUUUGCACGCUAUGGUGCUGUUGUGUGGGUAAUUUCCACACACUGCAUCUUUUUCAUAUUCCUAUUACAGCUAACAUGGCUACAUUUAUAUUGUUAUUUUGAGCCCACGUUUCUACCUGGCCGGUGUAUGAGAACAAGAUUCUCGCUUUAACCAUGUGGUUGGCACAGGCUAGUGAGUGACGUGCGCUUGGGGGAUACAUCUGCAUUGUUACCUUGGUGGGGCGCUGACUUGCAGUGUCGCCACUUUAUUGCUGCUAUCUAUUUAUAUAUCUAGUUCAUGUCUACGGUUUUU